GAUGAACGCUAGCGGCAGGCUUAACACAUGCAAGUCGAGGGGUAGAGGAAGCUUGCUUCCUUGAGACCGGCGCACGGGUGCGUAACGCGUAUACAAUCUACCUUUUACAGAGGGAUAGCCCCAGAGAAAUUUGGAUUAAUACCUCAUAGUAUUUUCGGAUCGCAUGAUUUGAUUAUUAAAGUUCCAACGGUAAAGAUGAGUAUGCGUCCAUUAGCUAGAUGGUAAGGUAACGGCUUACCAUGGCAAUGAUGGGUAGGGGUCCUGAGAGGGAGAUCCCCCACACUGGUACUGAGACACGGACCAGACUCCUACGGGAGGCAGCAGUGAGGAAUUUUGGACAAUGGGCGCAAGCCUGAUCCAGCAAUGCCGCGUGCAGGAUGAAGGCCUUCGGGUUGUAAACUGCUUUGUACGGAACGAAACGGUGAGCUCUAAUACAGUUUGCUAAUGACGGUACCGUAAGAAUAAGACACCGGCUAACUACGUGCCA
rnacentral:rRNA from 1 species